ensembl:lncRNA
CCAAGCAAUUCUUUCAAUGUACAGAGGGGAAAAGCACAAACCUCACACGCUUUUCUGCGAUUUACUCUGUACUUUAUAGCGCCUGGGCGGCAGAAAGGGAGACAGAGCUUUUCCCGCCUUGCGGCUGCAGCCUCACGUGCGCCCCUCAGGAGGAGUCGGGCUUUCCCUCAGAGCGACUGAACACGUGCAGGGCCUGAGAAGGCGGGUGUGCCCUCACAACGCCCGGUUAGCUGAACUUCUGUCAGAAAGCCCCCUAGUGCACCACUUAGAGUUAUUCUUGGGAAGAAUGGGAAGCAGACAUUAACAUCUUGUACCUCUGAGACAUACUUAAGGUUGCUAAACUGAUGCACGAAGGAGUACAUUACUGAAGGUGAAUGUUUUCUUGGGGAUCUUAAAAGCAUCAGAGUAUCGUAAAGGUGGGUGUACCUACAUAAAUUGUACUUUGCAAAAUGGUCUGUUACUUAUAUAAAUUGUUUCGGCCCUCAGUAUGUAUAAUUUCUGGCUUAACAUAAAUUAUUUUGGUAUUUCAAAUUCUUCCAGAAUUACACAUCAUGCUGGAAAGUGAACUAUAGCUGACUACUGAGAAAUGUUUACUGAGCAAUAUAUAUGGCCAGUACAAUCUCUGCUCACCUGUACAACACUGAUUUCUGAGCGUUAUGAAGUUAUGAGAUUACUGAAUUGAUUAUAAUGAUGACAUGGAAACAAAACUAUCAUUAAUCAAGGGUGUCAGUGUCUCAUUAGAAAAAAAA